rnacentral:rRNA from 1 species
AUUGAACGCUGGCGGCAGGCCUAACACAUGCAAGUCGAGCGGGGUUUUCGGACCUAGCGGCGGACGGGUGAGUAAUGCGUAGGAAGCUGCCCGAUAGAGGGGGAUACCAGUUGGAAACGACUGUUAAUACCGCAUAAUGUCUACGGACCAAAGUGUGGGACCUUCGGGCCACAUGCUAUCGGAUGCGCCUACGUGGGAUUAGCUAGUUGGUGAGGUAAUGGCUCACCAAGGCGACGAUCCCUAGCUGGUUUGAGAGGAUGAUCAGCCACACUGGAACUGAGACACGGUCCAGACUCCUACGGGAGUCAGCAGUGGGGAAUAUUGGACAAUGGGCGCAAGCCUGAUCCAGCCAUGCCGCGUGUGUGAAGAAGGCCUUCGGGUUGUAAAGCACUUUCAGCGAGGAGGAAGGGGUGUGUGUUAAUAGUACACACCUUUGACGUUACUCGCAGAAGAAGCACCGGCUAACUCUGUGCCAGCCGCCGCGGUAAAAC